rnacentral:rRNA from 1 species
UACAGAGGGGGCAAGCGUUGUUCGGAAUUACUGGGCGUAAAGGGCGCGUAGGCGGCCGCCUAAGUCAGACGUGAAAUCCCUCGGCUCAACCGGGGAACUGCGUCUGAUACUGGGUGGCUUGAAUCCGGGAGAGGGAUGCGGAAUUCCAGGUGUAGCGGUGAAAUGCGUAGAUAUCUGGAGGAACACCGGUGGCGAAGGCGGCAUCCUGGACCGGCAUUGACGCUGAGGCGCGAAGGCUAGGGGAGCAAACGGG